GAUGACUUGGACUUGUGUACUGACGCUUUAUGGCACAAGGCGUGUCACCUCAUAAGCUUAUCGUAAAAGAAAUGAUAGUAAAAUCAGGAGCAGGAUCAGCAGCAACACGAUUGCCAGCGAAGGAGACAGAAUUGAGGGCGGCUAACAGUCAUUUGGUCUUGAUGCAAACGGUGAGAAGUAUGUUCGAGGCAUACAGCAGAAAGUUGAAUUUCUGUGUUGAGUACUUAUGCAGUGGACCUUGCCAAGAUCAGCUAUCCCAAUGUACCACAGGUGUCCAUUGAGAAGGUUUUGGGGACCAUGGGUCACGGACAGGGCCAGUGCACUGCGAUUUGUGGCUGAGGUGAUGAAUGCUAACGCAGACAUGCUUUGAUACCGGUGAUAGAAACAAUAAAAAUAGGAUGA
rnacentral:lncRNA from 1 species